GCAAGUCGAGGGGUAACAGGGGAGAUUGCGUUUGCUUACGAACGGCGCACGGGUGCGUAACGCGUAUACAAUCUGCCUUAUACUGGGGGAUAGCCUUUGGAAACGAAGAUUAAUACCCCAUAGUAAGUGAAGAUGGCAUCAUCAUCACUUUAAAGAUUACGGUAUAAGAUGAGUAUGCGUCCUAUUAGUUUGUUGGUAAGGUAACGGCUUACCAAGACUACGAUAGGUAGGUGCCCUGAGAGGGGGAUC
rnacentral:rRNA from 1 species